rnacentral:rRNA from 1 species
UACGAGUGCCCCGAGCGUUAUCCGGAUUUAUUGGGCGUAAAGCGUGUCCAGGCGGUUUAGUAAGUCACCGGUUAAAUCUUAUGGCUCAACCAUAAGACCGCCGGUGAAACUAUUAAACUAGAGACCGGGAGAGGUCAGCGGAAUGACCGGUGUAGCAGUAAAAUGCGUUAAUAUCGGUUGGAACACCAAAGGCGAAAGCAGCUGACUGGAACGGUUCUGACGCUCACACACGAAAGCGUGGGUAGCGAAUGGGAUUAGAUACCCCAGUAGUCCACGCCGUAAACGAUGGAUGCUAAAUGUUGGCAGUAUCGACCCUGCCAGUGUUGUCUACCUAAGGUAACCCCUUAAGCAUCCCGCCUGUGGAGUACGGCCGCAAGGCUAAAACACAAAGGAAUUGACGGGGAUCCGCACAAGCGGUGGAGCAUGUGGUUUAAUUCGACAAUAAGCGAGGAACCUUACCAGGGUUUGACAUCUAGCUGCAAACCUCCUGAAAGGGAGGCUUCUUCGAGAGUGCUAGACAGGUGCUGCAUGGUUGUCGUCAGCUCGUGUCGUGAGACGUAUGGUUAAGUCCCUUAACGAGCGCAACCCCUGUCCUGUGUUACUAAUUUCACAGGAGACUGUCUCGGAUAACGAGGAGGAAGGCGGGGAUGACGUCAAAUCAGCAUGGCUCUUACGCCCUGGGCUACACACGUGCUACAAUGGCCGGUACAAUGGGCCGCUAAGUCGCAAGACGGAGCAAAUCCCACCAAAGCCGGUCCAAGUUCGGAUUGAGGUCUGAAACCCGACCUCAUGAAGCUGGAAUCGCUAGUAACCGCAGAUCAGCCUCGCUGCGGUGAAUACGUUCUCGGAUCU